rnacentral:lncRNA from 1 species
UGGGCUACCUGGUAGAUUCCAUGCCAAAACAACAAACCAGCUGAAACCUAUUUCUGUUUUGCAUUGAGUUAGGGCCCACUACAUAACCCAGACUUCCUUCAAACCUGUGAUCCUCCUGCCUUAGCCCCGUACUGCUGCCAGGCCUAGUCACAGUCCCUGCCCUGGCUCCUUCACAAUCUGUUCCCUGUGCCUGGAACUCCCCUGUCUUCCAGCUCUCAGCUCACAGUACCCUCCUUCAGGAGACCUCCCUGACUCCCAGGAUGAAAGGGAUUAGGGUACUGUCCUGAACCCCCAAAACCCAGUCCUCCCUGCCAACCCUGGGAUUUCCAUCCCACCGCCUGGGUGAGUGACCCUCUGCUGCUGUCACUACUCUGUCCCUUCGCCCAGGCAGGAACAGCCAUGCCUGGGCUCACACACGUGGUGGAACAGAUGGCAUCUGGCCCACUCUGCCAGGCUCAGACCUGACUCCUUUCUGCCCACAGUUCCGGAACUUCAAGAUCAUCUACCGGCGCUACGCUGGCCUCUACUUCUGCAUCUGCGUUGACGUCAACGACAACAAUCUGGCCUAUCUUGAGGCCAUCCACAACUUCGUAGAAGUGAGUCAGGUGCCGGCCUAGGAGGCCCUGGAGUGCUGGGGUGGCCACUCGUCCCCCCAACCGCUACCCCCAGCCUCCCUCUCUGUGCAUGGGUCUGUCUUUCUAAUCUGCCUCUCCCUCCUCACCUCUCUCAUCUGCUCCAGCCAAGGACCUCCACUAUCUGCCCAUCCACUACCCGGCUUCA